rnacentral:rRNA from 1 species
UAACGCGUGAGGAACCUGCCUCAAAGAGGGGGACAACAGUUGGAAACGACUGCUAAUACCGCAUAAGCCCACGACCCGGCAUCGGGUUGAGGGAAAAGGAGCAAUCCGCUUUGAGAUGGCCUCGCGUCCGAUUAGCUAGUUGGUGAGGUAAUGGCCCACCAAGGCAACGAUCGGUAGCCGGACUGAGAGGUUGAACGGCCACAUUGGGACUGAGACACGGCCCAGACUCCUACGGGAGGCAGCAGUGGGGAAUAUUGCACAAUGGGGGAAACCCUGAUGCAGCGACGCCGCGUGGAGGAAGAAGGUCUUCGGAUUGUAAACUCCUGUUGUUGAGGAAGAUAAUGACGGUACUCAACAAGGAAGUGACGGCUAACUACGUGCCAGCAGCCGCGGUAAAACGUAGGUCACAAGCGUUGUCCGGAAUUACUGGGUGUAAAGGGAGCGCAGGCGGGAAGACAAGUUGGAAGUGAAAUCUAUGGGCUCAACCCAUAAACUGCUUUCAAAACUGUUUUUCUUGAGUAGUGCAGAGGUAGGCGGAAUUCCCGGUGUAGCGGUGGAAUGCGUAGAUAUCGGGAGGAACACCAGUGGCGAAGGCGGCCUACUGGGCACCAACUGACGCUGAGGCUCGAAAGUGUGGGUAGCAAACAGGAUUAGAUACCCUGGUAGUCCACACCGUAAACGAUGAUUACUAGGUGU